rnacentral:rRNA from 1 species
AACGAACGCUGGCGGCAGGCUUAAUACAUGCAAGUCGAACGGGCGCAGCAAUGCGUCAGUGGCAGACGGGUGAGUAACACGUGGGAACCUUCCUCGUUGUACGGAACAACUCAGGGAAACUUGAGCUAAUACCGUAUAAGUCCGAGAGGAGAAAGAUUUAUCGCAAUGAGACGGGCCCGCGUCGGAUUAGGUAGUUGGUGAGGUAACGGCUCACCAAGCCAACGAUCCGUAGCUGAUCUGAGAGGAUGAUCAGCCACACUGGGACUGAGACACGGCCCAGACUCCUACGGGAGGCAGCAGUAGGGAUCUUGGACAAUGGGCNCAAGCCUGAUCCAGCCAUGCCGCGUGAGUGAAGAAGGCCU